rnacentral:rRNA from 1 species
AUUCCAGCUCCAAUAGCGUAUAUUAAAGUUGUUGCAGUUAAAAAGCUCGUAGUUGGAUUUCUGACAGGGGGCCGAACACCACUGUAGUGAGUGUUUUGGUACCUGUCAUCCUUCUGUUAACCCUAGCGUCAUUCAUUUGUCGUUGGGCGGACCAGAUACUUUACCUUGAGAAAAUUAGAGUGUUUCAGGCAGGCCUAGCCGGAAUACAUUAGCAUGGAAUAAUGGAAUAGGACUAUAGUCUCGUCGUUGGUUACGUGGACUGCAGUAAUGAUUAACAGGGGCAGUCAGGGGCACUCGUAUUCCGCCGAGAGAGGUGAAAUUCUCAGACCAGCGGAAGACGAACCACUGCGAAAGCAUUUGCCAGGGAUGUUUUCAUCA